CCUACGGGAGGCAGCAGUGGGGAAUAUUGGGCAAUGGGCGCAAGCCUGACCCAGCAACGCCGCGUGAAGGAAGAAGGUUUUCGGGUUGUAAACUUCUUUUAAGAGGGAAGAGCAGAAGACGGUACCUCUUGAAUAAGCCAUGGCUAACUACGUGCCAGCAGCCGCGGGAAUACGUGGGUGGCAAGCGUUGUCCGGAUUUACUGGGGGUAAAGGGGGGGUAGCCGGGCUGACAAGUCAGAUGUGAAAUUCCGGGGCUCAACCCUGUACCUGCACUUGAAACUGUUGGUCUUGAGUAUCGGAGAGGCAGGCGGAAUUCCUCGUGUAGCGGUGAAAUGCGUAGAUAUUAGGAGGAACACCAGUGGCGAAGGCGGCCUGCUGGACGACAACUGACGGUGAGGCGCGAAAGCGUGGGGAGCGAACAGGAUUAGAUACCCCAGUAGUC
rnacentral:rRNA from 1 species